AGAUGAUGAUAACCAAUCAUUCGCAGUCCAUCUAUGGGAGAGAACUUGCACAUGACGCGAGUUCUAGAUGUUAACAAUAGUGUGUCCCCACGCUAUAGCUGCAGUGAUACAAGAGGGAGUCAAGGUGGACACGUUGGUGGGUUACAAACACACGGUACCAAGCUUGAGAUUGGGAUACAAGAAAAUGAUUGGGUCAGUCAAUUUUCAAG
rnacentral:lncRNA from 1 species